ACAGUGUUCAUUUACCAUUACUGGUUAUAGGUUACUAGCAACCAUAUAAAGUACUCUCUUUAUUGUUGUGAAUUUCUAUUUACAUAUGAUUACAUUAGUGUGUUUUUAAAAGAGUUGUAGGAAAACAGAAUUAAUUAAAAUAAGAAAAGCAAUUUCCGAAAAAGAAGUUGAAAUUACAAUUCAAUUUUACAUUUAUGGAUAAAAUUUAAGAGAUCAUUGAAGUGGUCUAUAUUCAUGGACAUAAGAACAUCAGGUUUCGCAUAGAUUGAAGUCGCAAAUUCCCACUCUGUGGAAGUAUUUUUUGGUAUAAGUAUGGCCGGUAAACAGUCUAUUGAUUGUUUUUAUGCUUUCAGGUUUCAUCUGCAAAUGUUUGUGCCAUGGUUGCUUGGGAGGAUUUGGGAAAAAUCGGUGGAAAGAAGUGCGUCAAUUUUUUGCGAUGCAUCAGUAACCGAAAAUUCGAAAGGUAUGAUACAUCCAGCUUCCGUUGCCUGCUUGGCAUAGUAGUCAGCCGUUUCAUUAAUUGAAAUUCCAACAUGGGAUGGAACCCAAACAAAAGUGACCUUAUUUAUGGAGGAACAGGCGAUCCUUUGGACAAUGUUGGCUGUGGUAUGAUUAUUGGAGGAACUGCAAUUCAAAAGUAAACAAGCAUUCUUGCUGUCGGUGAAUACAGCCGCUGUGCUGAUUCCAUCCUCGAUGAUUAUAUCGAUAGCUUUUUCUAUAGCAUAUAGUUCUCCCGAUAAGGAGGAAAGUUUUUCUUCAAUUUUGAAUAAAAAGUUCUGCUUGGCGGAAAUAUUACAAACAG